rnacentral:misc_RNA from 1 species
GAUGAAGAACGUAGUGAAAUGCGAUAAGUAAUGUGAAUUGCAGAAUUCAGUGAAUCAUCGAAUCUUUGAACGCACAUUGCGCCCGCCAGUAUUCUGGCGGGCAUGCCUGUCUGAGCGUCAUUUCAACCCUCAUGCCCCUAGGGCGUGGUGUUGGGGAUCGGCCAAAGCCCGCGAGGGACGGCCGGCCCCUAAAUCUAGUGGCGGACCCGUCGUGGCCUCCUCUGCGAAGUAGUGAUAUUCCGCAUCGGAGAGCGAUGAGCCCCUGCCGUUAAACCCCCAACUUUCCAAGGUUGACCUCAGAUCAGGUAGGAAUACCCACUGAACUUAAGCAUAUCAAUAAGCGGAGGA